CUACGGAGGGCGCAAGCGUUAUUCGGAAUCACUGGGCGUAAAGGACGCGUAGGCGGGUUGGCAAGUCAGAUGUGAAAUCCUACAGCUUAACUGUAGAACUGCAUUUGAAACUGCUAACCUAGAGUAUGGGAGGGGGAGAUGGAAUUAGUGGUGUAGGGGUAAAAUCCGUAGAUAUCACUAGGAAUACCGAAAGCGAAGGCGAUCUCCUGGAACAUAACUGACGCUAAGGCGUGAAAGCGUGGGGAGCAAACAGGAUUAGAUACCCUAGUAGUCC
rnacentral:rRNA from 1 species